rnacentral:lncRNA from 1 species
CGGCAAAUAUUAACCCUUAAAGAGAGGCAUAAGGUGCUAUUUCAAGAAGCACGAUUUUAUUAAAUCUUGCAGUUUAUCAAAAUAGAACCGGCCCAAUUGGAUGGUCCAACUGGCCAAGAAUGAUAGUGAGGCAGCCCAAAAACUUUAAUAACCUCCACCUUGCUGAACUAAUUCUUGGCCUCUAUUAAAUUGGAGAGUUAUCUCAUGGUUUCAUUUGCUCUCACAACCUGUAAAGAGAAAAAGGAUUAAGUCAGUGCAAUUCUGUAAAUAAUAAUGCUUAGAUUUUCAAAAUAUCACUUCUUCAAGUGAUGUUCAAAAUCUUGAAGCAGUUCUUGAAUUUAUUUAAAGGCAGUAUCUUAGUUCCCAGAUCAGAAGGAUUGAAUUCUGUAGGAAUUUUGACCAACUUGAUCAGACUUUUUUCAACGAGAUUUCGUACAAAAUGAAAUUUUCUAUCUACAUGUUUGGUCCUAUCAUGAUAUACUGAAUUUUUACUAAGGUGAAUUGCACUUUGAUUAUCUGUNUUAUGUAGUCCUCAAAUGUAUGGUCCUUUCCUAAACGAACCAUAUUGUAAAAUCCCAUAGUUCGUUGUUUUUUCUUAGUGAAUUCAAAUCAAGUUCUUGAUAUGUAUAUUAACUUUUGCCUCAUAUAUGGUGCUGUGUAUAGACGAUGAUGUAAUGUUUUCGUUUAAGCCUUUGUUAACCAUUCUAUUAUAUUAUUUUUUUCUACAGUACUCAUUUUCAACAACACGUUCUUCAUUAAAAUAAUAUUACACAUAAAUAAAUAAAUAAUUCUUCUUUAUUAACCACACAUUUCAACAUCAAUUACUAUUCCAUAAUACACUUUUUGAAAUUAAAAGGGCACAAACAGGCCCUAAAAUGUUAAGACUCGAAACACACUUAUUUAUUUAAAUUAUGUUAUCAAGACGUUACCUCACAUGUAAGCUAGAAUUAUGUUAUCCAAUAGCCGUGUUGCCUUCCUCUGUUGUACGGACACUUCAACUAGGAUAGUGUGCUGUAUAAAACAUUUCUCAGAUAUCAACUCUGUUCGAAACUAUACCAUGAUCAUUUUUUUACUAGAAAUAUUUUAUAUUUUUAACUGAACUUAUUAGUAAAUAACAAAUAUGCACUCAUUCAGAAGAUUUCAACAAGAAAAAUUAAUAAAUAUAAAACAAAAUAUAUUAUAUAAAUAAAGAAUUUAAUCAAGGUGUCGACGACGUGUCGUAUCAGUACUUUUUUGAACAAUCGUGUGUUACCAUAUCUGAUAAAUGUCAUAUCGGACACACAUGUCAAUCCAUCAUAGUUGCCUUCACAUAAAAUCCCUUUUGGUUUUAAUUCACUUGCCAUGUGCUUAAAAUUGGAAUGGGGAGUGAAGAAGAAACACAAAAGUUUCAUUGUGGUUUAAUCCUUGUUGUCGACGAAGAAGGAUAAUAGACAAGUACUUCAUAUGCACGUCUCUCUUCUUUAAUCUUAUCUAAUAUAUUUAACGAUGUGAUAACUAGUAUACUAAAUUAGAUUGUAUUAAAUUGACAAAUCCCAAAAGAUUGUCCCAAUUCAAGAAAAUGGUGACUUGCGAGGUUGAAUUAGGUUCAUAGGCUUAUCUUAUAGUUUGGCUUUUACUUAAAAAGUGGGGGCACUUUUGUCAUUAAUGCACCAUGCCAAACACAAAAAGAGUAGGGGUUUACAUGACUAUUAUUAUGUUAGUGAAAAAAAAUCAAAUGUCAUAAUUAAGGACAUACUUGGACAAAACAACAUGAUGCAUAAGUUCUUUUUUUAAGUAAACAAUUUUUGUAUUAGUCAAAGUUGAAAAUUUAAAUAAGUUUUUACGUAAAAAGUAGGUUAUCUAAAGAUACCUGAAAUAAAUAAUUAUUUAAAGGUAAUUAUCAAUUUUGAAUUAGACUACACGAUAAAUUGAAUAUAAUCAAUAUUAUAAACUUAUCGUUACUUUUAUGUCCUGGACAAUCCGCAUGUGAUAAUGGUCAAAACAAGAGUCGUGAUUUAGCGUAUUCGUUAACAUUUUGGAGCUUUUGUAUAACUUUAAUCCAGAUAAAUUUGUAAAUCGUGUUGUACCUAAAAACAGUAGUAACAACUUAAAAGAUAAUGAAUCAAAGAUUCAAAAUCCAAUUGAUUGUAACAAAUUGCUUUUGAAAGCGCGUCUAGUUUUGACAAUUACUAGUGGAUGUUGGGUGAGUUUCAAUUUUAACUAUUUAUGUUGACAGCCUAACUUGGCACUUAGGCGCCACCGUAUUUGAUUGCAAUAAAUCACUUGAUCACGUGCAUGUGUAUAUAUAAUUGAUUCAUAAAUGUUUGUAAAUCAUGAAUCUGAUUUGCAUGUGAUGGAGUAGGUUAAAGACCACAAAACAUAAAUUUAUAUAGUCUAUAUGUCUGCAACACGCAUUCUCAUACAUAAAGCUAGUCUAUUUUAAUUAAAUAGUCAAGACUCGUUUGGCAUAUCUUUUGAAAAGUCAAAAUGAGCUUUUGAGAUUCAGAAAUUAUUUUUUGACCCGUUUGAUUAAUUUUAUGGAAGUACUUCUUUUAAUUCGAAGACUUUUAGAGCAAAAUAGGCAAAUGCGACUUCAUCUAAAAGUACUUUUGAGAUAAAACUCUCUUUUAAAAAUUAGUUUUCAAACACAAAUAAAGUUGACUUCCUCUAAAAACUCUCUGUCAGAAAGUAAAAAGCAAAGUCAUGUCAAAUGAGCCUUAAUAUAUGCACAGUUUUCAUUGGUAGCGACGAGAUUUGAGACCCAAAUAUUAUGUUUUGAUGAUUUUUAACAACUUAAACUUUUAAAUAAAACAGUUUAACCCUUUCAAACGAAUAGAAAAGAACUUUUAGACGCCUACAUAACACGAAAGACAACACAAAUUUGUCUUUGAAAAGUAAUAAUCGUUGAUUCACUUAGUAAGCACGUUUGUCUUAACUAUUGAAACUUUAAUGUGAAUUUGUCUUUUAACCAUUGAAACUUUAAUGUGAAGAUGCCCUAGCGUGACAAGGGUCCAUAUUUUCGGCCUCAUUUUGGGGCCUAAUAUAACCCUUUUUCUACCUAUAAAAAAAUAAAAUAAAAAAUAAAUAAAAAUACACUCGAGUAUCAGCAGGAAUCUUGCAAAAGGACAUCUAUACUUUUGAACAAUAGCCGUAAUCAUGGAUCCUAAGUUCCCCAAUUUUAGGUGUCAUAAUAUAUCUACAAUAAAUUUUGAUUGUCAUGAUCAAAUAAAGACAAAUCACAAAUCAAAGUUCAAACUUCAUCUAGAUAAAUCUGCAAGUAGUACAACAUGUACACAUAUUUUGUUAAGUUAAAAUGUAAACAUAGUAACAUUGCAAAUAACUAAUACAGAUAAAAAGUCAAUUAAAAUUAAUAUUUUGAUCUUUAUUUUAUUAUUACAGUCGUCAUUUUUGAAUUCUUCUCUCACAGAUAAGACCCACUUUAUCUUCAACGAUAAAAAAAUCAAUUAAUAAAAUCUCUACUAAACAAGCACUAAACUUCUUGUACAUAUUUUUUUUCACAUUUGUUAACAGAUGUGGUGGUGAAAUGCAUUUGGUCCUUGAUUUGAAUAAGUAAAAUUCAAUUCAAGAGCCAAAAUGCAUGCCAAUUCAGGAUCUAUCAAAACAAUAUGUGAAAAAAAUAUACAAGUAGCAUGAUUUUGUUAAGAUUUGGUGUCCAUCUUAAAAAGGUCAACAUUGUUAAGAGGAGUUUGUGAGAUUUUUAUCCCUUAAAAUGCCCUCGUAAGAUGGUAGUUCGUUUGAGCAGAUCAAUCUUACAAUCCGUUGCUCAUUAAUUGAGACUUAUAAUCAGAUCGAAUGGCUUGUUGGAGUUUAAUGGGAUCCGAUACCAUGUUAAAACUUGGGGUCCAUCUUAAUAAGGUCAACAUUUUUAAGUGGAGAGACCCAAUAUCUUUAUAAAUUGGUAUUUAUUUCGGUAUUAAAUCGAUGUGGGAUAACACAUCCCUUAACAGGUCUCCUCAAGAUAGUGGCUCAUUUGAGCAGACCAAUCUUGAAAUUCAUGGGGUGGCUCUGAUGCUAUGUUAGCACUUGGGGUCCAUCUUAAUAAAGUUAACUUUGUUAAGUGAAGAAGUCUAUGAUCUUUUUAAGUUGAUCAAUAUUUAAAUAUUAAAUCGAUGUAAAAUUUUUAUCCCUUAACAGAUUCUUGCAAAUACGUCAUAAAAAUUGUGAUGGUUGGAGGAUUAUUGUGAGAGUUUUUUAUCAUAUGAAUAGAAAUAGAGGAAAAAGUGACUCGCGGUCGAGAAAGAAAGAGAUUUUUAUAUAGUUAAACGUACCAAGCACAAGCAAUUGGACAAAAAUUCAAGGUUAUGCUUCGCAUUACUUUUAUAGCUCAUUGUAUAUGCCAGUAACUAGAAGUUGAUUAUUAGUUAAUGAAAGUUAAAAUUUUACAGCCAUACAGAUUGAAAAAAGUGUUGUAUUUGUGAUAAAGCAAUACACGUGAAAUGUCUUUUUUAAAUUUACACUCUUACACAGUCACGCGGCUCUCCCAAUUCCAUAGGCAAAAAGACCUACCUUAACCCAAAUCUUUCCCCAGAUUUCCCCCAAAUCUCCGCAUGUUUUUCCGAUUUCCAAUCACACUUUCCAAUUUCCAACAGAAGCACAAGUGUUAUUUAAGAAUCGUUUGAAUAAUGGUUGAUUUGUAAAAACAGAUUUAUAAAGUUUGCAAAAAUUAAAAGAACACGAGACAAAGCGAUAUGUUUUUGCCCUAGAAUAGGGCCCGGAUGUUCAAUCGUUAGACUUAGUCACCCGUUGAACAUCUAUCACGAGAUUGUGCUCAAGAUCCACUAAUAUCAACCAAGAAUUAGUACAAAUGUUCGAUUUCUUCGAUAUUUCUCUAGCCUCUCUAUUUAUAAGAUUCAUAACCUACACACGUUACAAUUUCAAAUAUUGCACUAAGCACUCACUGAUUCACAAAGAAAAAGAGAUUGCACUUCACAAAGAAUGAUUACAGAACUUUUCAAGUAAAAACUCUAGCACUUAGAAGACGAAGACGGAAGACCCCAGAAGUCUCACUCACACUGAGUCAAAGAAAAGGCGUGACCAAGUAUAUAAAUGUCCAGUCCAAAGGUCAUGAUUCAAGGGUCAAGAUGUUGCCACGUUGACGGCAAAUAUUAACCCUUAAAGGGAGGCAUAAGGUGCUAUUUCAAGAAGCACGAUUUUACUAAAUCUUGCAGUUUAUCAAAAUAGAACCGGCCCAAUUGGACAGGUCCAACUGGCCAAGAAUGAAAGUGAGGCAACCCAAAAACUUUAAUAACCUCCACGUUACUGAACUAAUUCUUGGCCUCUAUUAAAUUGGAGAGUUAUCUCAUGGUUUCAUUUGCUCUCACAACCUGUAAAAAGAAAAAGGAUUGAGUUAGUGCAAUUUUGCAAAUAAUAAUGCUUAGAUUUUCAAAAUAUCACUUCUUCAAGUGAUGUUCAAAAUCUUCAAGUAGUUCUUGAAUUUAUUUAGAGGCAGUACCUUAGUUCCCAGAUCAGAAGGAUUGAAUUGUGUAGGAAUUUUGACCAACUUGAUCAGACCUUUUUCAACGAGAUUUCGUACAAAAUGAAAUUUUAUAUCUACAUGUUUGGUCCUAUCAUGAUAUACUGAAUUUUUACUAAGGUGAAUUGCACUUUGAUUAUCUGUGUAAAUAACAACAGAAUCAUUUUGAAAACCAAUUUCAUUCAACAGACCUUUUAACCAGACACUUUCUUUUACUGCAUCACAGGCAACAAUAUAUUUAGCUUCAGUUGAAGACAAUGCAACUAAUUUUUGAAGCUGAGACUUCCAGCUGAUGCAACCAUCACACAAAGUAAAGAUGUAAGCAGAAGUAUACCUUCUUUUAUCUAAGUCACCAGCAAUGUCAGAAUCUAUGUACCCCUUUAAUAUUAUCCCCUCAUUACUUCUUUUGAACAUUAAACCUAAAUCACAUGAAACUUUUAAGUAUUUCAACAUCCAUUUCAUAGCAAGUCAAUGAGUUUCACCAGGAUUGGCCAUACAUCUACUCAAGUUACUAAUACUAUGGGCUAAAUCAGGUGCAGACCAUAAGAUACAUAAUGGAACCUACUGCAUUAGCAUAUGGCACCUUUUCUAUUCUUUUAAAUUCAUCAUCAGUUUUAGGUGAUUGCUCACUGGACAAUUUAAAACGAUUUGCAAUAGGAAGUGAAACAGGUUUACAUUCAAGCAUAGACAAUUUUUCAAGAACCUUUUUCACAUAGUAACCUUGUUUUAACAUUAAUAUGCAAUUAUUUCUAUCCCUUUCUAUCUUCAUUCCUAAAAUUCUCCUAGUUUGUCCUAAAUCUUUCAUUUCAAAUUCAGAUUUUAACUUUGCUUUAACAGAGUCAAUUUCAGUUCUAUCAUGACAAAUAAGUAACAUAUCAUCUACAUAUAAUAGCAGAUAAAUGGAUUCAGACCCACCUAAACCUUAUAGAAGAGACAGGAAUCAUAAUUGCUUUUCAUAAAACGUAAAUUCCGUACAAAAGAAUUAAAUUUCAAAUACCAUUGCCCGAGGGCCUGUUUAAGCCCAUAUAGAGACUUUUUCAACAAACAAACCUUAUUUGUUUCAAAUUUGACCUCAAACCCCAAGGGUUGAUUCAUAUAUAUUAUUUCACCAAGGUCACCAUUUAGAAAAUCUAUUUUAACAUCAAGUUGAUCUAACUCCCAGUUAAAAUGAGGAGUCAAAGCCAGCAGAAUUCUGAUUGAGGUGUACUUAGCGAUUGGUGAAAAAAUUUCAUCAUAGUCUACUAUUUCCUUUUGUGUAAAGCCUUUGGCUACCAACCUGGCUUUAUACCUCUUAUCUUUUAGAUUUGAGUCUCCUUGUUUUAUUUUAAAGAUCCACUUACAGUCAACUACUCUUUGAUUCUUAGGUCUAUCAACCAAAGUCCAGGUUCUAUUUUUAAUAAGGGAAUCCAUUUCCUCUUUCAUAGCUUGUUUCCAAAGUUUUGAAUCAGGACCUUUAAUUGCUUCUUCAAAGGUAGUAGGUUCAGAAUUUAAGGAGUCCAAAGCAGAAAAUAGAGUAACAAAUUAUUCAUUAUUAAACCUGGUAAAAGUUAUAAUAUACAUUCUUUCUCUGUCUUUAGUAAGUUGAUAAUCAGCAAUAAUAGGAUCUGUUGAUUCAAUUUCAUUUUCAAGGUCAGAAGGUUCUUGGUAUGUUUUAGAUUGUGCAGACUCCACCUCAAUAAAAUCAUCUUGAUUUUCAGUUUGUGUUUCCAGGAUGGUUUCUUUAGCAGAUACAGAUUCAGAAGCAUUUGUGUCCACAGAUUUAUAACAAGGCAUUUCAUUUUAAUUAAAAAUGACAUCUCUACUGACUAUAACCUUACAACCAUCUAGGCUUUUGAUCCAAAGUCCACUGGCGGACCCACAGUUGGUCCUGGUGGAUCACUUGACCCACCAACUUAAAAUUGAUUUUUUUUUUAUGUAAUUAGAUUUGCAGCAGAAGAACUCCAGCCUGGAAAAUCUAAAAACUUUGAAUGAAUUAUUAAUUUUUUAAAGAAUGUGAAAGAUGAAUUAUAUACCUCUUUUUUUGGGAAAUUAUUUCUUUUGUAUGAUUUCUUUUGUAUUUUCUUAUAAAAUGGACUUAGGGAUCCAUUUAAGUGCUCCAAUUUUUAUUUUGUUCUGGUGAUUUUAUGUUAAUGGAUUCUUACCGUGAUUUUUGUAUUUGUUUGAACUAGAAUGCAUUUGAUAAUUUAACAUUCAGAAUUGCUGAAAUUUUUGUAUUUUUCGCUUGAAUUAAUUGUGAUGGAAAAAUAAUUUAAAUGUAAAUAUGCAUUUUUUUUUUAUAAUCACAAUGUUAAUGAAAUGAAUAUUCGAGAUAAAAGUGAUGACAAACAUAGUGGUAUUUAUAUAAACGUAAAUCUAUAUUUUUGCAAGUUUAAUUGUGCCCCACUAACUCAAAAUGUCUGCGUCCGCUACUAUCAAAGUCUAUACCCUUUGGUUUCCUCUCCAUAUCCCAAGAAAACACAUUUUUGAAAUCGAGGUUCAAGCUUGCCUUCACUCUGAUGAGAAAAGACAGCACAUCCAAACACUUUCAAUUAAUUGUAAUCAGGUGUUUUUCCAGAUCAUGGUGUUUCAGGAACCUAAAAGUCAAUAGCAAUAGAUGGACUUCUAUUUAUCAAAUAAGUUGCAGUUUUUAGGACUUCAUCCCAAAAGGACUUUAGGAGACCAGAACUGUAUAUCAUACAUCUAACUUUUUCUAACAAAGUCAUAUUCAUCCUCUCAGCAACAUCAUUUUGCUGAGAAGUGUAUGUUACAAUUCUGUGUCUCAAUAUUCCAAAUUCUUUACAAAAAAGGUUAAAUUCAGAAUUGCAAAAUUCAAGUCCAUUAACAGUCCUUAGUGCUUUGAUUUUCCUUUUGGUUGGAUUUUCAAUUAUGUUUUUCCACUAUUUAAAAGUAUGAAAGGUGUCUGACUUUUGUUUUAAGAGAAAUGUUCAAAAUUUCCUUGAAAAAUCAUCUACAAUAAGCAGAUGGAACCUAAACCCACUUAAGGUACUCACAGAUGCUAUACCCCCACAGGUCAGCAUGUAAGUAAUCUAGGAUAUGAGUGGAUUUAUGGGUUCCAGUUUUGAAAGGUAGUUUUUUCUGUUUUCCAAUCAAACAAUUUUUACAAAAGUCUAAACUUUCAAUGUUGUCAUUUCCAAAACACCCAAGUUUGUUUCGAAUUAUAAGACCCUUUUUUUGAGCUAUGGCCAAGUCUUUUAUGUCAUAUCAAAACCUUGUUUGGAUCAGAAUUUAAAGCAGCAGUACAAUGGAUUUUCACAGGUUCAGCAGAGACAGUAUAUAUGCCCUUUUUCUUAUGAGAAGAUAUAACAUUCUUGCUUCCUUGAUUUAUUGUAAUAAGUCCCUUAUGAAUCAUUAUGUUAUAUUUUUCAUCUAGUUCUCCCAAGGAGAUAAGGUUCCUCUUAAGUUCAGGGACAUAUCUAGUAUUUUCCAACUCAAGAAUAUAGUUGUUCUCUAAUAACAACCUCACUUUACCAAUUCCAUGUAUUUGACAACACGUGUCAUUACCCAUCUGAAUUUACCCUCCACUAAGGUCAACAAAUUCAGAAAAGCAUUCCUUAACAGGACACAUGUGGAAAGUGCAUUCAGAAUCAAGGACCCAAUCUUUAGGGUUUCUACUGGUUGCACUGACAAGAACAACACCUUAGCUGCAGAGCCAACAAUGUUGUUUCUGUCCUUCAUAUCAGAAAUUUUCUUAAAAUAAUAUUUUAUUAGGUGUCCAGUUUUUCCACAAUAAUAGCAUUUCCUGUUUUAGUUUUUGGAUUUGGCAAAGUUCUUGUUUUUAUUUUUGGGUUUGUUGUAUUGAGACUUUCCUUUCUUGUAGGAAUUGAAAUUGCACUAAUUUUGUUUCUUCUUUUGAAUUUGUUUCUCUUUUAUAUGCAACCCCUCUCCAAACUUGAAAUCUUUUGACUCUGUUUUUAAUUUAAGUUCUUUGUUUUUGAGGGCUGAAGUUAUUAUGUCUAUGGUAAGAUCCUGCCCCCCAUAUUCUAGAGCAUUUUUGAUAUCUCUAUACCUUUCACUUAGAUAAUUUAAUAAAGCAACAACUUGUUGGUCAUUAGAUAACUUUUCAUUACAAUUCUCCAAGUCUUGAAUCAAUUUAGUAAAUUUGUCGAGAUUUUCUUCCAGGCCAAAAGUAGGAUCAAAUCUAAAGUUAUAAAACUGCCUUAAGAGGUAGCAUUUAUAAGGCAUGGAUUUAUUUAGAUACAGUGUUCCUAACUUAGUCCAUAAAGCCUCAGCAAAGAUAGUUUCUCCUGCUUUCCUAAUCACACUAUCAGAGAGAUGAAGGAAAAUGGUACUCCAAGCAGUAUCAUCCAAUUCUUGUCUCCUAUAAGUACUAGUCUCUACAGCCCAAGUUCCAUCAAGGGCUACAGCACAUCUCUGCUUACUAGUAGGGUCCUCAUCUUUUGGCGCUAGAGAUUAAAAUCACCAAUGCCAUUCCAUAUCUCAAUUUCAAAUUUAUGUGUAGUAGUAGACAUGAUGACCAACACAAAGCAACAGAUUAUGAUUGAAUAGGACAACAAGUACAAUUGAUUCAAGAAAAAUAUUAAAGGUAACAGGCAUGUAAUUAUAAAAAAUGCAAUAGAAAAUUACUUUUGCAGAUACUUAACAUACAAUUCACAAGAGUAUUAAUGUCAAUUAUGAAAAGGUUUAAGGGGUGGUAACCCUUCUGUUCAACUGCUUCCUCAGAUUCCUAGACCUUCAACGAGAUCUUGGACAAAGGAAAGCAGAGGAGGGUAACUUACCUUAACAACCAAUUCCAAAACUUAACAAGAACAGUAGCAAUUUAAAGAAAUGGGUUGCAGAGAUAUACCAGAGUCUGAAAUUUUAAGGAUUUCAGAAAUAACUGCAGGGCAAAACCAAGGUUUGAGCAAACAAUUACAGUGCAGGUGUAAUUGCCAAUUAAUCAACAGUAACUCAGUAUGAACUCGAUAGGAAUCGGGAUGAGUCAACAUAGCUCGCCAAACUCAGUACGAGUACUAGUACUCGAUAAGACUCAGUAACGAGUCAACUCAGAAAUCAUUUGAACUCAGCAGAAAAAAAGGACCAGAGGUGAGUUUAAACGAGUUGUAAGAAUUAUCUCAACAAUCAUUAAAGAUUUCAAAAAAUGCAACAAAUUUAGAUACUAGAUAAAAAAAAAAUUACGUUCAAAGAUCCAACCAAAUAUGGAUCUGAGGCAAGACACAAGGUACCCCCUUUUCAAAGAACAAUCGUCCGUCUCCUCUUUCACAGAUCUAAAAGUUUUGAAUAAAAGAAACUUAAGGUUUUGAAAAGAAAAAAAAAAUUCGAACAAACAGAUCCAAAAUUUUUAGAAAAGUGGCUCUAAUACCACUUGUUAUUUAAGAAUCGUUUGAAUAAUGGUUGAUUUGUAAAAACAGAUUUAUAAAGUUUGCAAAAAUUAAAAGAACACGAGACAAAGCAAUAUGUUUUUGCCCUAGAAUAGGGCCCGGAUGUUCAAUCGUUAGAUUUAGUCAUCCGUUGAGCAUCUACCACGAGAUUGUAUUCAAGAUCCACUAAUAUCAACCAAGAAUUAGUACAAAUGUUCGAAGAAAUUGAAGAUUCCUUCGGUAUUUCUCCAGCCUCUCUAUUUACAAGAUCUGUAACCUACACAUGUUACAAUCUCAAAGAUUGCACUAAGCACUCACUGAUUCACAAAGAAAAAGAGAUUGCACUUCACAAAGAAUGAUUACAGAACUUUUCAAGUAAAAACCCUAGCACUCAGAAGACGAAGACGGAAGACCCCAGAAGUCUCACUCACACUGGGUCAAAGAAAAAGCAUGACCAAGUAUAUAAAUGUCCAACCCAAAGGUCAUGAUCCAAGGGUCAAAGAUGUUGCCACGUCGACAACAGAUAUUAACCCUUAAAGAAAGGCAUAAGGUGCUAUUUCAAGAAGCACGAUUUUACUAAAUCUUGCAGUUCAUCAAAAACAGAACCGGCCCAACUGGCCAAGAAUAAUAGUGAGACAGCCCAAAAACUUUAACAAGAAGUUGUCGUGUAAUGGGACGAUUCUUCAAGUCUCAUAGAAAAAUUGUUUUUCGCCCAUGUUGCAGUUGUCUCACUUCAUUCGACUGCCAAGUCUUUCUCCAUUACAAGUCUAAACAUGAUCCGUGCAUAUUUUUCACCGUGAAGCACGCUAGCGUGAAAGGCUGAAUGUUUCCCUAUUCUAUGAUUGGUGCCAAGAUGCUCGCCAAUUCGUAAUGUGCAUCCAAUCAUUGAGGUUCCCAACUCUGCUCAUUCUGAGUUAGCCACCUUGCCCUAUGUUCAUACGGUACCCCAUCAAAGCAUGCAUAUUCAAUUAAAAGUUGAUCUCCUUGGCUCCAUUCGGAGCAUUGAAGGCUAGUAGCUUUUCGCAUUUUCCCCCACAAUACAAUACUCGUACUCGUCAAACUUUCUACUAGCAUUAUAGCCCAUUUUGCGCCAUAAUGCCCUUUGUCAGGUUCUGACCACAAUUGAUUGGCUUCCACGUUCCAUUAAGAAAACCUCAAGGACCCACAAAUUCCUCCUUAAAUUUACUAGUCACUAGAGAUAAAACACAGGAAACGGCUCAAAAAUAAAGCCCAUCAACGAUUUGAACUAGGUUUGGCGGGUUGCGCCAGGCCCGUGCUGUAGUGCAACGCAUGGGCGACGCUCGAAGGCCCAGGCAGCAAGCUACCUUGGCGGACCUUCACCCUAAAAAAAUUAAUUUAAUAUCGUGUGGGCUAAUAGCCCACAUAUCAGAUAUUAAACUGAUAAGAACAGAUACUACACUUGAUCUUAGCCAAAAGGCCG